AUUGAACGCUGGCGGCAGGCCUAACACAUGCAAGUCGCGCGAGCGGCGGACGGGUGAGUAAUGGAUGGGGAAUGACCGAUAGAGGGGGGUAACUACUGGAAACGGUGGCAAAUACCGCAUACUGUAGGAUAACCAAUAUGGGAUUUGCUAGUAGGUAAGGUAAUGGCUUACCUAGGCGACGAUCCCUAGCGGGUCUGAGAGGAUGAUCAGCCACACUGGGACUGAGACACGGCCCAUACUCCUACGGAGGCAGCAGUGGGGAAUAUUGCACAAUGGGCGCAAGCCUGAUGCAGCCAUGCCGCGUGUAUGAAGAAGGCCCUAGGGUUGUAAAGUACUUUCAGUCGGGAGGCGUUACCGACAGAAGAAGCACCGGCUAACUCCGUGCCAGCCGCCGCGGUAAUUC
rnacentral:rRNA from 1 species